UGAGGAAUAUUGGUCAAUGGGCGAGAGCCUGAACCAGCCAAGUAGCGUGCAGGAUGACGGCCCUAUGGGUUGUAAACUGCUUUUAUAUGGGAAUAAAGUGAGGGACGUGUCCCUUAUUGCAUGUACCAUAUGAAUAAGGACCGGCUAAUUCCGUGCCAGCAGCCGCGGUAAUACGGAAGGUCCAGGCGUUAUCCGGAUUUAUUGGGUUUAAAGGGAGCGUAGGCCGUUUGGUAAGCGUGUUGUGAAAUGUAGGAGCUCAACUUCUAGAUUGCAGCGCGAACUGUCAGACUUGAGUGCGCACAACGUAGGCGGAAUUCAUGGUGUAGCGGUGAAAUGCUUAGAUAUCAUGAAGAACUCCGAUUGCGAAGGCAGCUUACGGGAGCGCAACUGACGCUGAAGCUCGAAGGUGCGGGUAUCGAACAGG
rnacentral:rRNA from 1 species